rnacentral:rRNA from 1 species
CCUACGGGUGGCAGCAGUGAGGAAUAUUGGUCAAUGGCCGGAAGCCUGAACCAGCCAAGCCGCGUGAGGGAGGAAGGCGCAGAGCGUCGUAGACCUCUUUUGUCGGGGGACAAAAGGCCGGACUCGUCCCGUCCUGAGGGUACCUGGAGAAAAAGCAUCGGCUAACUCCGUGCCAGCAGCCGCGGUAAUACGGAGGAUGCGAGCGUUAUCCGGAUUUAUUGGGUUUAAGGGGUGCGCAGGCGGGCGUUUAAGCCGGCGGUAAAAUCACGGGGCUCAACCCCGCCGAGCCGUUGAAACUGGGGGGCUUGAGUGCGGCGGAGGCAUGCGGAAGGCGCGGUGUAGCGGUGAAAUGCAUAGAUAUCGCGCAGAACCCCGAUUGCGAAGGCAGCGUACCGUGCCGACACUGACGCUGAGGCACGAAAGCGCGGGGAUCGAACAGGAUUAGAUACCCCUGUAGUC